AUUGAACGCUGGCGGCAGGCCUAACACAUGCAAGUCGAACGGUAACAGGAAACAGCUUGCUGUUUCGCUGACGAGUGGCGGACGGGUGAGUAAUGUCUGGGAAACUGCCUGAUGGAGGGGGAUAACUACUGGAAACGGUAGCUAAUACCGCAUAACGUCGCAAGACCAGAGAGGGGGACCUUCGGGCCUCUUGCCAUCGGAUGUGCCCAGAUGGGAUUAGCUAGUAGGUGGGGUAACGGCUCACCUAGGCGACGAUCCCUAGCUGGUCUGAGAGGAUGACCAGCCACACUGGAACUGAGACACGGUCCAGACUCCUACGGGAGGCAGCAGUGGGGAAUAUCGCACAAUGGGCGCAAGCCUGAUGCAGCCAUGUCGCGUGUAUGAAGAAGGCCUUCGGGUUGUAAAGUACUUUCAGCGGGGAGGAAGGGAGUAAAGUUAAUACCUUUGCUCAUUGACGUUACCCGCAGAAGAAGCACCGGCUAACUCCGUGCCAGCAGCCGCCGUAA
rnacentral:rRNA from 1 species